UACAGAGGUGGCAAGCGUUGUUCGGAAUUACUGGGCGUAAAGGGCGCGUAGGCGGUUCGUUAAGUCCUGUGUGAAAUCCCCCGGCUUAACUGGGGAACUGCACAGGAAACUAGCGGGCUUGAGUUCGGGAGAGGGAAGCGGAAUUCCGGGUGUAGCGGUGAAAUGCGUAGAUAUCCGGAGGAACACCGGUGGCGAAGGCGGCUUCCUGGACCGACACUGACGCUGAGGCGCGAAAGCUAGGGGAGCAAACAGG
rnacentral:rRNA from 1 species